AAUAAUAAUAAUAAUAAUAAACCUACCCGCCAACCAUUGAAAGGGGAAAAAAAGAGAGAGGAGAGUUGAUGUUGGCUUUAAUAAAAAUGUGCCUGGAAAUAUGACAAAAGAUUUUUCAAUUUAUUUCUUCUGAAAUCUGUAGAAAUCCUGACAUUCUUACCAUUUAUGCAUGUUUCAAUUGUAUUCUUUUUCAGAGAGAGAGAGAGAGAG
rnacentral:misc_RNA from 1 species